UACGAAGGGGGCUAGCGUUGCUCGGAAUUACUGGGCGUAAAGCGCACGUAGGCGGCUUUCUAAGUCGGGGGUGAAAUCCUGGAGCUCAACUCCAGAACUGCCUUCGAUACUGGAGAGCUUGAGUGCCGGGAGAGGUGAGUGGAACUGCGAGUGUAGAGGUGAAAUUCGUAGAAUUAUUCGCAAGAACACCAGGUGGCGAAAGGCGGCUCACUUGGC
rnacentral:rRNA from 1 species